GACGAACGCUGGCGGCGUGCUUAACACAUGCAAGUCGAACGGAAAGGCCCUGCUUUUGUUGGGUGCUCGAGUGGCGAACGGGUGAGUAACACGUGAGUAACCUGCCCUUGACUUUGGGAUAACUUCAGGAAACUGGGGCUAAUACCGGAUAUGAGCUCCUGCUCCAUGGUGGGGGUUGGAAAGUUUCGGCGGUUGGGGCUGGACUCGCGGCUUAUCGGCUUGUUGGUGGGGUAGUGGCUUACCAAGGCUUUGACGGCUAGCCGGCCUGCGAGGGUGACCGGGGACAUUGGGCCUAAGAUACGGCGCAGAGUGGAAGGGGAGGCAAUAGUGGGGAGUCUUGCACAAUGGGCCGGCGCCUGAGGCAGAGACGUCGCGUGCGGGAUGACGGCAUUCGGGUUGUAAACCGCUUUCGCCUGUGACGAAGCGUGAGUGACGGUAAUGGGUAAAGAAGCACCGGCUAACUACGUG
rnacentral:rRNA from 1 species